UACAGGUCAGAAAGGAAGAAAUAAAACUCUUUUCGCAGGUUAUGGCAGCUCUGGGCCCUGCUGCGCAUGAGCCUGACCAAUUUAAAGCGGAAUCCUGGCUCCAGGAAACCCAUGAGACGACCAAAAGGUCGGAGAAGAGGUAGAAAAUGCGGCAGAGGCCAUAAAAGAGAAAGGCAGAGAGGAAACUGGCUCUGCUGGGCUUUGGGGAUGGCCAGACUCUAUUUUACAUCGGAAUCCCAAAAUACAGAUUUAAUGAAGGACUUAGCUUCAGACACCAGUAUCAACCUUUAAGUAUCAAUAGACUGUAAUAUGUUACUGAUUUGGGUCGUGUUGAUCCUACUCAACCUAUUGACUUAACCCAGCUUGUCAAUGGAAGAGGUGUGACCAUUCAGCCACUUAAAGAGGAUUAUGGUGUUCAGCUGGUCGAAAAGGCCGCAGACACCUUUCAGUUAAUAUUGAAGUACAGUUGGCUUCAGAACUAGCUAUUGCUGCAAUUGAAAAAAAUGGUGGUGGUGUCACUACAGCCUUACAGGAUCCAAGAAGUCUGGAAAUUCUAUCCAAACCUGUUCCAUUCUUUUUGGAGACAACCCAUUCCAAAAAGAAUGCUUCCUUCUGAAGCACUGGUACCAUAUUCCACCAAUGCAAAGAAUCGUGGGAACCUGGCAGAUCCUGCCAAAUUUCCUGAAGCACAACUUGAGCUUGCCAGGAAGGACAGUUCUAAUUUACUGGAUAUCACGAAAGAAGAACUCUUCAAAUGUUCAGUACUCAGAAGGAUCCAAGGCAGAUUUUCUUUGAGUUUGCUCCAGGAUGGGUGCUGAAUAUAGUAGAUAAGAAAAUCCUAACAUCUACAGAUGAAAAUCUCCUCAAGUACUAGAGCU
rnacentral:lncRNA from 1 species